rnacentral:tRNA from 1 species
ACACCGUUGGUGAAACGGUAUCAUGCAUCGUUGCCAUUUAAGAUUUUCGAUGCGGCAGGGGUUCGACUCCCCUACGGUGUA